rnacentral:rRNA from 1 species
UACGGAGGGAGCUAGCGUUGUUCGGAAUUACUGGGCGUAAAGCGCGCGUAGGCGGCUUUGUAAGUUAGAGGUGAAAGCCUGGAGCUCAACUUCAGAAUUGCCUUUAAGACUGCAUCGCUUGAAUCCGGGAGAGGUGAGUGGAAUUCCGAGUGUAGAGGUGAAAUUCGUAGAUAUUCGGAAGAACACCAGUGGCGAAGGCGGCUCACUGGACCGGCAUUGACGCUGAUGUGCGAAAGCGUGGGGAGCAAACAGG